AACGAACGCUGGCGGCAGGCUUAACACAUGCAAGUCGAGCGCCCCGCAAGGGGAGCGGCAGACGGGUGAGUAACGCGUGGGAACGUGCCCUUUGGUUCGGAACAACUCCGGGAAACUGGAGCUAAUACCGGAUAAGCCCUUCGGGGGAAAGAUUUAUCGCCAAAGGAUCGGCCCGCGUCUGAUUAGCUAGUUGGUGAGGUACUGGCUCACCAAGGCGACGAUCAGUAGCUGGUCUGAGAGGAUGAUCAGCCACACUGGGACUGAGACACGGCCCAGACUCCUACGGGAGGCAGCAGUGGGCAAUAUUGGAAAAUGGGCGCAAGCCUGAUCCAGCCAUGCCGCGUGAGUGAUGAAGGCCUUAGGGUUGUAAAGCUCUUUUGUCCGGGAAGAUAAUGACUGUACCGGAAGAAUAAGCCCCGGCUAACUUCGUGCCAGCAGCCGCCGUAAUAC
rnacentral:rRNA from 1 species